UUCUUGAGAUAAAUUCCUAAAAUUGCAGUCUACAUAUUUAUUGAAUAUAUAUAAUUCAUAUUUAACAUACAAAGAAGUAAUGCACAAAUGACUUGACUUGAGUUUAGUAAGUUUUAGUAAUGUUGUCACUGUUAUUUAUUUAUUUUUCAGACUGACUGAUCUGAGCACAACCCUUCGCCGCACUUUUCUUCUUGGUCAGUAUUAAUGUGGUUUCUUAAGUAGUACUGUGAUAUUUUCAUCACAUCACCAUAAUUGUAGUUCCUGUGACCUAAUUUUUUAUUUUUAUUUUUUCUGUUUCUUAUUCAGGUUCCUUGUGUUUUGGCUUUCGCCUUGUUCUACAGAGAGCAGUUCAUUUGUUCCUAGUAUUUUUUGCUUGAAACUUAAAUUAAAAUUUAGAUUUUCUGAAUUCUGCAUUUUUUUAAAUAAGCAGUUUUGUUUAGUUUAUUUUAAUAGACAGUUUUUAUUAUUAUUUUUUUUAGAUUUUUUUUAUUUUUUAUUUUUUAGAAUUAGAUUUGUAGAUCUAAUUUAUAAAUAUAAAUUAGUUCUUUUUCUGGUUCUUUUUCUACAUUCUCAUACAUUAAUAAGUUCAUUUUACUUGUAUAGUUCUUUUCUUGAGAAAAAACAAAAAACUCAAAAAAAAAAUUGUUUAUUGCAUUUUUUACAAGUUUACACAGUGUAUUUUUCAUUGUUGUUUAACUGUUUUUUUUUCUUCCUGAGACUACUACAGGUUUUUAUCUUUUCAGGCUCAAGAGCUGUUACGCCAGGAGGACUUUUAAAGAUGCCGCGGAAAGGAAAGAAAUCUCAGGCUCAAAAAAUCCGUUGGAGAAAGUUGACCUGGGAAGAUCUGGAAGAUGAUCAGAACAGACUCUCCAGGAUUAACAAGGUUGAACAGGCAAGCACCAGUGCUGAUGUAGCUCAGUUUUCAGAUAGAGUGUAUGCAGAAGGUGGUGAUAGUGCACCCAGGGUUUUGUCUGUUCAGGCAUCUCAUUGUCAGAAUGAUGUAAGGUAUGAUGAAUU